rnacentral:rRNA from 1 species
GAUGAACGCUGGCGGCGUGCCUAAUACAUGCAAGUCGAGCGAACGGACGAGAAGCUUGCUUCUCUGAUGUUAGCGGCGGACGGGUGAGUAACACGUGGAUAACCUACCUAUAAGACUGGGAUAACUUCGGGAAACCGGAGCUAAUACCGGAUAAUAUUUUGAACCGCAUGGUUCAAAAGUGAAAGACGGUCUUGCUGUCACUUAUAGAUGGAUCCGCGCUGCAUUAGCUAGUUGGUAAGGUAACGGCUUACCAAGGCAACGAUGCAUAGCCGGCCUGAGAGGGUGAUCGGCCACACUGGAACUGAGACACGGUCCAGACUCCGACGGGAGGCAGCAGUAAGGAAUCUUCCGCAAAGGGCGAAAGCCUGACGGAGCAACGCCGCGUGAGUGAUGAAGGUCUUCGGAUCGUAAAACUCUGUUAUUAGGGAAGAACAUAUGUGUAAGUAACUGUGCACAUCUUGACGGUACCUAAUCAGAAAGCCACGGCUAACUACGUG